AGUGAACGCUGGCGGUAGGCCUAACACAUGCAAGUCGAACGGCAGCACAGUAAGAGCUUGCACUUACGGGUGGCGAGUGGCGGACGGGUGAGGAAUACAUCGGAAUCUACUUUUUCGUGGGGGAUAACGUAGGGAAACUUACGCUAAUACCGCAUACGACCUACGGGUGAAAGCAGGGGAUCUUCGGACCUUGCGCGAUUGAAUGAGCCGAUGUCGGAUUAGCUAGUUGGCGGGGUAAAGGCCCACCAAGGCGACGAUCCGUAGCUGGUCUGAGAGGAUGAUCAGCCACACUGGAACUGAGACACGGUCCAGACUCCUACGGGAGGCAGCAGUGGGGAAUAUUGGACAAUGGGCGCAAGCCUGAUCCAGCCAUACCGCGUGGUGAAGAAGGCCUUCGGGUUGUAAAGCCCUUUUGUUGGGAAAGAAAAGCAGCAGGUUAAUACCCCGCUGUUCUGACGGUACCCAAAGAAUAAGCACCGGCGAACUUCGU
rnacentral:rRNA from 1 species